rnacentral:ncRNA from 1 species
UAUAAAUAUAUUUGAUCAAAUUAUGGGUGAAGGUUUUUAAGUAAAAAUAGAUGUAAAAUUUUAUAUAGGAGAUUCGUUUAAAAAAUUCAAAAUUUUAUUUUCAGUGUUUAAAAUUAUUAAAAUUAUUGGGGGGUAAUUUUAGUUAAUUUAAAAUUCAUUGGGGAGAAAAAUUAUGUGCCAGCAUUCGCGGUUAUACAUGGUCCUUUAAUCUUUAUUUUUAAAAGAAAGAUUUUUUUAUUAUUUUAAUUUUAUUUUAAUGGGGGGUGAAAUAAAUUAAAAUUUUUAUUAAAAUUGGGAUUCUUUAUAAUUUAAGAUUUAAACUAGGAUUAGAUACCCUAUUAUUUUAAUUUAAGUAGUAAUUUUUAGGAUUUUAAUUACAUAAAAAAUUAAAUUGAUUUGGCGGUUUAUUAAUCUUUUUAGAGGAAUCUGUUGAUUAAUUUGAUAAACCACGAUUAUUAACAUCUUUAUUUUCUUGUAUAUCUCUAUAUUGAAUAUGUUUAGAGACAAAUUUUCUUUUUUUUAUUUAGAAAUUUAAUUUAGGUCAAGGUGCAGUUAUAUAAAGAUUUAAAUGGAUUACAAUAAUUUUUGUUUGUGGAAAAUAAAAUAAAUAAAUUUUAAAGGGGAUUUAAAAGUAAUAUUUUUUUUUUAAAAAUUAUGAAUCAUGCUCUGAUUUAUGUACAUAUCGCCCGUCAUUCUCGUUUUAUCGAGACAAGUCGUAACAAAGUAGAUGUAUUGGAAAAUGUAUCUAGAGGGA